UACAGUUCUGUACAGUGGUGUA
rnacentral:siRNA from 1 species